ensembl:lncRNA
CAAAUGUGCACCUGGGUGUCUGUAUUUGUGACUUUAAGGCUUAUUGACUGAAACAAGAGUGACUGUGAUGCAGGAGUCAUGAUUACACACUUAAUUUCUGAGGCGUGCCAGCAGCUCAGCUCAGUUCAGCAUUGCGUCCUCUGAACUGGCAAGCUCCCAAGACCACAGCAAGUCUGGAAGUGACGCAGAAUGGAGGCAAGGAAUCACAAAGAGAUUUUUGUGAGAAUUCAGCAUUGCCAUGGAGAUGGGAUGGGUGAGAAGGAGUGGGCUGCGGUGCGGAGCAGACCCUACUUCUUGACUGACUGCUGCAGUCCCUGCA